GCGUGAUGCCAAACUCUAUAGAAGAGAGGGAUGAAUAUCUUCUUCAAAGAGGAGGGAGAAGAAUACUUGAGAUUUGAUCUUAAGACCUUGAAACAGCCCACACACCACCACAAAAGGAGGGAGGAUGCUAAGAGGAGAGAGACGCCCGGUGAUAGGUGACGCCCAAGAGAGAGGGGACGCCCACACCAAAGGAUCUCCAUGCCAAGCCUAGGAUUGAUUCCUUCUUUCUCUUUUCCACACCCCAACUUAUAUAGAUAAGAGGUCUUAGAUUAAAUCAAACUCCUUUGGAUGC
rnacentral:lncRNA from 1 species